UACAGAGGUCCCAAGCGUUGUUCGGAUUCACUGGGCGUAAAGGGUGCGUAGGUGGCGAGGUAAGUCGGAUGUGAAAGCUCGGAGCUCAACUCCGAAAUGGCAUUGGAAACUACCUUGCUCGAGGGUUGGAGGGGGGACUGCAAUUCUCGGUGUAGCAGUGAAAUGCGUAGAUAUCGAGAGGAACACCAGUGGCGAAGGCGAGUCCCUGGAAAAUACCUGACACUGAGGCACGAAAGCUAGGGGAGCAAACAGG
rnacentral:rRNA from 1 species